GCCAUGGGCGCUGCGGCCAUAGCUGCGGCUGCGAAAGGUAAACAGUUGGUGGUAAAAACUCCGACAAAACUGUGGCCAUGACCUAGGCCGCCCCCAAGGCGGACUAAAGACCUUGUCAAACUGGCUACCAGUGCCAUGACUGACUGACCAAUGCCAUCACCAUGACAGAUCCUCCAAGACCUUUGCUGAAUUUACUGCAAUAAAUUUUACUAAAGGUGAUCAUA